GUGGGGAAUUUUGGACAAUGGGCGAAAGCCUGAUCCAGCCAUGCCGCGUGUGUGAAGAAGGUCUUCGGAUUGUAAAGCACUUUAAGUUGGGAGGAAGGGCAGUAAGUUAAUACCUUGCUGUUUUGACGUUACCGACAGAAUAAGCACCGGCUAACUUCGUGCCAGCAGCCGCGGUAAUACGAAGGGUGCAAGCGUUAAUCGGAAUUACUGGGCGUAAAGCGCGCGUAGGCGGUUUGGUUAGUUGGAUGUGAAAGCCCCGGGCUCAACCUGGGAACUGCAUCCAAUACUGCCAGGCUAGAGUCCGGUAGAGGGGGGUAGAAUUCCACGUGUAGCGGUGAAAUGCGUAGAGAUGUGGAGGAAUACCAGUGGCGAAGGCGGCCCCCUGGAUCGAUACUGACGCUGAGGUGCGAAAGCGUGGGGAGCAAACAGGAUUAGAAACCCGAGUAGUCC
rnacentral:rRNA from 1 species